GCCGAAGUGGCGGAAUUGGUAGACGCCAGGGAUUUAAAAUCCCUUGUGCUUUUGCACGUGCCGGUUCGAGUCCGGCCCUCGGCA
rnacentral:tRNA from 1 species